UACGUAGGGAGCAAGCGUUGUCCGGAAUCAUUGGCGUAAAGCGCGCGUAGGCGGCCCUGUAAGUCCGUUGUGAAAGUCAAAGGCUCAACCUUUGAAAGCCGAUGGAUACUGCAGGGCUAGAGUCCGGGAAGAGGCGAGUGGAAUUCCUGGUGUAGCGGUGGAAUGCGCAGAUAUCAGGAGGAACACCAAGUAGCGAAGGCAGCUCGCUGGGA
rnacentral:rRNA from 1 species